UGGGGAAUAUUGGGCAAUGGGUGAAAGCCUGACCCAGCAACGCCGCGUGAAGGAAGAAGGUUUUCGGAUCGUAAACUUCUAUCCUUGGUGAAGAUAAUGACGGUAGCCAAGAAGGAAGCCCCGGCUAACUACGUGCCAGCAGCCGCGGUAAUACGUAGGGGGCAAGCGUUGUCCGGAAUGAUUGGGCGUAAAGGGCGCGUAGGCGGCCUGGUAAGUCUGGAGUGAAAGUCCUGCUUUUAAGGUGGGAAUUGCUUUGGAUACUGUCGGGCUUGAGUGCAGGAGAGGUAAGUGGAAUCCCCGGUGUAGCGGUGAAAUGCGUAGAGAUCGGGAGGAACACCAGUGGCGAAGGCGACUUACUGGACUGUAACUGACGCUGAGGCGCGAAAGUGUGGGGAGCAAACAG
rnacentral:rRNA from 1 species